rnacentral:rRNA from 1 species
GACGAACGCUGGCGGCGUGCUUAACACAUGCAAGUCGAACGGAAAGGCCCUGCUUUUGUGGGGUGCUCGAGUGGCGAACGGGUGAGUAACACGCGAGUAACCUGCCCUUGACUUAGGGAUAACUUCAGGAAACUGGGGCUAAUACCGGAUAGGAGCUCCUGCUGCAUGGUGGGGGUUGGAAAGUUUCGGCGGUUGGGGAUGGACUCGCGGCUUAUCAGCUUGUUGGUGGGGUAGUGGCUUACCAAGGGUUUGACGGCUAGCCGGCCUGAGAGGGUGACCGGCCACAAUGCGACUGCGAUACGGAGCAGACUCCUACGGGCGGCAGCAGUCGGGAAUAUUGCACAAUGGGGGGAAGCCUGAUACAGCAGCGUCGCGUGCGGGAUGCCGGCCUUCGGGUUAUAAACCGCUUUCGACUGUGACGAAGCGUGAGUGACGGUAAUGGGUAAAGAAGCACCGGCUAACUACGUG